rnacentral:rRNA from 1 species
CCUACGGGUGGCAGCAGUGGGGAAUAUUGGACAAUGGGGGGAACCCUGAUCCAGCGACGCCGCGUGAGUGAAGAAGUAUCUCGGUGUGUAAAGCCCUAUCAGCAGGGAAGAAAAUGACGGUACCUGACUAAGAAGCACCGGGAAACUACGUACCAGGAGCCGCGAUAAUACGGAGGGGGCAAGCGUUAUCCGGAUUUACUGGGUGUAAAGCGAGCGUAGUCGGUGCAGCAAGUCUGAUGGGAAAGGUCGGGGCCCAACCCCGGGACUGCCUUGGAAACUGUUGAACUGGAGUGCAGGAGAGGUAAGCGGAAUGCGUGGUGUAGCGGUGAAAUGCGUAGAUAUUGGGAGGAACACCAGUGGCGAAGGCGGCUUACUGUACUGCAACUGACGUUGAGGCUCGAAAGCGUGGGGAGCAAACAGGAUUAGAUACCCCUGUAGUC